rnacentral:rRNA from 1 species
GACGAACGCUGGCGGCGUGCUUAACACAUGCAAGUCGAACGGUGAUGAUCAAGCUUGCUUGGUCUGAUCAGUGGCGAACGGGUGAGUAACACGUGAGUAACCUGCCCCAGACUCUGGGAUAACCCCGGGAAACCGGAGCUAAUACCGGAUAUGACACUCGCACGUAUGUGCAGGGCGUGGAAAGUGUUUCGGUCGGGGAUGGGCUCGCGGCCUAUCAGCUUGUUGGUGAGGUAGUGGCUCACCAAGGCGACGACGGGUAGCCGGCCUGAGAGGGCGACCGGCCACACUGGGACUGAGACACGGCCCAGACUCCUACGGGAGGCAGCAGUGGGGAAUAUUGCACAAUGGGCGAAAGCCUGAUGCAGCGACGCCGCGUGAGGGAUGACGGCCUUCGGGUUGUAAACCUCUUUCAGCAGGGAAGAAGCGCAAGUGACGGUACCUGCAGAAGAAGCACCGGCUAACUACGUGCCAGCCGCCGCCGUAA